rnacentral:sRNA from 1 species
CCUUCUUCUUCUUCUUCUUCUUCUUCUUCGUCUUCUUCUCCGG